ensembl:rRNA 5S_rRNA 5S ribosomal RNA
GUUGAUGGCCAUAUCACUCUAAGCAUGCCUGAUCUUGUCUGAUCUCAGAAGCUAAGGAGGGUCUGGCCUGGUUAGCACUUGAGUAGGAGAUUUUAAGAUCGACACACAACAAUUAAUU